rnacentral:rRNA from 1 species
AUUGAACGCUGGCGGCAGGCCUAACACAUGCAAGUCGAGCGGAAACGAGUUAUCUGAACCUUCGGGGGAACGAUAACGGCGUCGAGCGGCGGACGGGUGAGUAAUGCCUAGGAAAUUGCCCUGAUGUGGGGAUAACCAUUGGAAACGAUGGCUAAUACCGCAUAAUGCCUACGGGCCAAAGAGGGGGGACCUUCGGGCCUCUCGCGUCAGGAUAUGCCUAGGUGGGAUUAGCUAGUUGGUGAGGUAAUGGCUCACCAAGGCGACGAUCCCUAGCUGGUCUGAGAGGAUGAUCAGCCACACUGGAACUGAGACACGGUCCAGACUCCUACGGGAGGCAGCAGUGGGGAAUAUUGCACAAUGGGCGCAAGCCUGAUGCAGCCAUGCCGCGUGUGUGAAGGCCUUCGGGUUGUAAGCACUUUCAGUCGUGAGGAGGUAGUGUAGUUAUAGCUGCAUUAUUUGACGUUUAGCGACAGAA